AGCGAACGCUGGCGGCAGGCUUAACACAUGCAAGUCGAGCGGGCGUAGCAAUACGUCAGCGGCAGACGGGUGAGUAACGCGUGGGAACGUACCUUUUGGUUCGGAACAACACAGGGAAACUUGUGCUAAUACCGGAUAAGCCCUUACGGGGAAAGAUUUAUCGCCGAAAGAUCGGCCCGCGUCUGAUUAGCUAGUUGGUGAGGUAACGGCUCACCAAGGCGACGAUCAGUAGCUGGUCUGAGAGGAUGAUCAGCCACAUUGGGACUGAGACACGGCCCAAACUCCUACGGGAGGCAGCAGUGGGGAAUAUUGGACAACGGGGGCAACCCUGAUCCAGCCAUGCCGCGUGAGUGAUGAAGGCCCUAGGGUUGUAAAGCUCUUUUGUGCGGGAAGAUAAUGACGGUACCGCAAGAAUAAGCCCCGGCUAACUUCGUG
rnacentral:rRNA from 1 species